AUAUACAGAGAAAAGAGUCGGCCUGAGAAUUGAACUGUGUGGCAAGCCAUAGAGACUGCCAGAGGUCCGGACAACAAGCUCUCCGAUUUGACACACUGAACUCUAUCUGAAAAGUAGUUGGUGAACCAUAUCCCUAUGUUGACACCUAUGGAAAUGAGAAGUGGUGAGUGACCGCCACAGCCCGUCCCAAUUCAUUCCCUCCCUCUUGGCCCCAGAAGUUUGCUGAUCUAAAGGGUAUUGGGAAGUAUGCUGUGUAGAGGAGGAGCUUACAUCUUACAGAUCUGCCAACAUCGAAGGGUUGCUUAGAGGUUUGUCACUGGUUAACACAGCCACAACACCAUUUAAAAGUUAUGACUAUGUGGCUGUGUUAACUAGUGAAGACCUACUCAGGGCCAAGAGGAACGUAAAGUUUGGCAGGGAAUGAAUUGCGAUCAACAGACAUUGUGGAGCCCAGGGCCCAUAUUCACAAAGCGUUUCAGAGUAUGAGUGCUGAUCUAGGAUCAGUUUUGCCUUUAAGAUUAUAAUGAAUAAGGUUAGUGGGGCAGCAGGUAGCCUAGUGGUUAGUGUUGGGCCCGUAACCGAAAGGUUGCUGGAUCGAAUCCCUAAGCUGACAAGGUAAAAAGCUAUGGGAGCCCCCCGCACCUCUCUGAUUGAGGGGUUGGGUUAAAUGCAAAAGACACAUUUCAGUUGUACAACUGACUAGGUAUCCCCCUUACAUGGACAGGGGAGAUCUGAUCCUAAAUCAGCACUGGGCCCUGACUGUAAGUAACCUGCAGAGGCCCCUGUGUUUGACAUUUUUACGUCAGGGUACCCCUAUGUACCAUCACCUUCCACCCUGUGACCCCUUUUCUAGUGAUCAGGCACUUUUUAGAACCUCCUUUAGUGGCUAAUGUAAACCUCUAAGAGAUGCUUGUCAAUGAUUGCCUCACAAGUGACGAUCAUGAGGUCUGUUUCUUCGUGUUCCCAUAAUGCGGCAUUUGUUGUUGUUUCGCUGAUGCUGGCUGGAGUUGAGUGUUAGCUUUGUUGCUGAUAUGCUGGAGGUUUUGAGGUAGAGAGAGUGAUAGAGAGACUAGAGUUCUACCUGAAAAAAAAGAUCCUCAUUGUCUUCUCCACUGUUGGACUGCCUCCAGACAUGUAUCCCACAUCGAUCCACAGCCGACCUCACCGUCCUCCAAAUUGUUUUCUGAAAUAGCCCAUUGACCCAAAUCUCACUGCUUUUCUGUUUUCCUGAAGUGACUCACGCUCCGGGGGAUAGACGAAUUGAACCCUGUGGGCACCCCCAUAGAGACUGCCAGAGGUCCGGACAACAGGCCCUCCGAUUUGACACACUGAACUCUAUCUGAAAAGUAGUUGGUGAACCAGGCGAGGCAGUCAUUUGAGAAACCAAGGCUAUUGAGUCUGCCAAUAAGAAUGCAGUGACUGACAGAGUCGAAAGCCUUGGCCGGGUCGAUGAAGACGGCUGCACAGUGCUGUCUUUUAUAGAUGGCGGUUAUAUAGUUUUGGACCUUGGAUAGGCACAAGGGGUUUAUGUAGGAUUGGUUCAUGAUGUUGUCCUCCGCAGCCUAGGCACAAGGUUAGCGGGUUUAUGUAGGAUUGGUUCAUGAUGUUGUCCUCCGCAACCUAGGCACAAGGUUAGCGGGUUUAUGUAGGAUUGGUUCAUGAUGUUGUCCUCCGCAACCUAGGCACAAGGUUAGCGGGUUUAUGUAGGAUUGGUUCAUGAUGUUGUCCUCCGCAACCUAGGCACAAGGUUAGCGGGUUUAUGUAGGAUUGGUUCAUGAUGUUGUCCUCCGCAGCCUAGGCACAAGGUUAGGGGGUUGUCCAUUUACUCGUUCUCAACUCCAACUAUUUCCUAGGACCUGUCCAGAAACAACCCGUACCCCCUAGAUUUUCCAAUCUUUCCCCUCCAAUCUCGUGUGUAGACAGUAGGGUCUAGGGAUGCGUUUGGGAAUCAGACCUAGUGUAUUUGGAGCUUUUCCUAACUUGUAGAAAAUCAGAAUUAGAUGCUUCUUCUUACUCAGACCCUGGCUACCUUCAUGCUCAUUCUUUCCUUUUCAUGUAGCCUACGACUGUAUUCACUGGUCUGUUAUUUUCACAGAACAGUCUGGUUUUGGCUGACUGUUAGUCCUGUUGUUUCCUAAGUCACCAGGUGACUGAAUAUUUAUUGCCUUGUACCUAUUUUUGGAAGGUUUGUCUUCAGAACUAUGCUUGAACAUUUCAUUCCAGGGCUGCUUCUGAAAUGGCACCCUAUUCCCUGUAGAGUGCACUACUUUUGACCAGAGUUCUAUUCACCCUGGUCAAAAGUAACUCACUAGAUAGGUGCCAUUUGGGAAGUACAUAUUCAUUUGCCUGUAUGUCUAUUUAUUUCUGUUGACUUUGAGAGAAAGAGAAUCUGUAUUUCUGAUUGUUAUUGUAAUACAAUGGUUAAUUUAAUUGUAAAUAAAACAUGUUUAUUUGA